AUUGAACGCUGGCGGCAUGCCUUACACAUGCAAGUCGAACGGCAGCACGGGGGCAACCCUGGUGGCGAGUGGCGAACGGGUGAGUAAUGCAUCGGAACGUGUCCUCUUGUGGGGGAUAACCAGUCGAAAGAUUGGCUAAUACCGCAUGAGAUCGAGAGAUGAAAGCGGGGGACCGCAAGGCCUCGCGCGAGAGGAGCGGCCGAUGCCGGAUUAGCAGUUGGUGGGGUAAAAGCCUACCAAGGCGACGAUCCGUAGCUGGUCUGAGAGGACGACCAGCCACACUGGGACUGAGACACGGCCCAGACUCCUACGGGAGGCAGCAGUGGGGAAUUUUGGACAAUGGGCGCAAGCCUGAUCCAGCCAUGCCGCGUGUGUGAAGAAGGCCU
rnacentral:rRNA from 1 species